rnacentral:rRNA from 1 species
AAGCUCGUAGUUGAAUUUCGGGACUAGUACGUUGGUCGUGCCUUAGGUACGUACUGGUGUUACUGGUUCCUACCUUCUGACGAACCAUUAUGUCAUUAAUUUGGUGUGGUGGGGAAUCAGGACUGUUACUUUGAAAAAAUUAGAGUGUUUAAAGCAGGCUCGCGCUUGAAUACAUUAGCAUGGAUAAUGAAAUAGGACGUUGAUCCUAUUUUGUUGGUUUCUAGGAUUGACGUAAUGAUUAAUAGGGAUAGUUGGG